ACUCCUACGGGAGGCAGCAGUGGGGAAUAUUGCACAAUGGGCGCAAGCCUGAUGCAGCCAUGCCGCGUGUAUGAAGAAGGCCUUCGGGUUGUAAAGUACUUUCAGCAGUGAGGAAGGCAGGUACGUUAAUAGCGUACUUGUUUGACGUUAGCUGCAGAAGAAGCACCGGCUAACUCCGUGCCAGCAGCCGCGGUAAUACGGAGGGUGCGAGCGUUAAUCGGAAUUACUGGGCGUAAAGCGCAUGCAGGUGGUUUGUUAAGUCAGAUGUGAAAGCCCGGGGCUCAACCUCGGAAUUGCAUUUGAAACUGGCAGACUAGAGUACUGUAGAGGGGGGUAGAAUUUCAGGUGUAGCGGUGAAAUGCGUAGAGAUCUGAAGGAAUACCGGUGGCGAAGGCGGCCCCCUGGACAGAUACUGACACUCAGAUGCGAAAGCGUGGGGAGCAAACAGGAUUAGAUACCCUGGUAGGAUAGCG
rnacentral:rRNA from 1 species